CAGUAGCCGCGGUAACACGGAGGGUGCAAGCGUUAAUCGGAAUUACUGGGCGUAAAGCGCACGCAGGCGGUUUGUUAAGUCAGAUGUGAAAUCCCCGAGCUUAACUUGGGAACUGCAUUUGAAACUGGCAAGCUAGAGUCUUGUAGAGGGGGGUAGAAUUCCAGGUGUAGCGGUGAAAUGCGUAGAGAUCUGGAGGAAUACCGGUGGCGAAGGCGGCCCCCUGGACAAAGACUGACGCUCAGGUGCGAAAGCGUGGGGAGCAAACAGGAUUAGAUACCCGAGUAGUCCCUGUCUCUUAUAC
rnacentral:rRNA from 1 species